UAGUCCACGCCGUAAACGAUGAAUGCUCGAUGCUGCGCCGCUUCAGGCGCAGUGUCUAAGCUAACGCGUUAAGCAUUCCACCUGGGGAGUACGAUCGCAAGGUUGAAACUCAAAGGAAUUGACGGGGGCCCGCACAAGCGGUGGAGCAUGUGGAUUAAUUCGAUGCAACGCGAAGAACCUUACCCAGGCUCGAACACUACCGGACAACUCCCGAAAAGGAGUCUUCUUCGGACUGGUAGUGAGGUGCUGCAUGGCUGUCGUCAGUUCGUGUCGUGAGAUGUUGGGUUAAGUCCCGCAACGAACGCAACCCCUAUCAUUAGUUACCAGCGGGUUAUGCCGGGGACUCUAGUGAGACUGCCUGCGCAAGCAGUGAGGAAGGUGGGGAUGACGUCAAGUCAUCAUGGCCCUUACGCCUGGGGCUUCACACGUGCUACAAUGGACGGUACAAUGGGCUGCCACCCCGCGAGGGGGCGCGGAAUCCAUAAAGCCGUUCUCAGUUCGGAUU
rnacentral:rRNA from 1 species